rnacentral:tRNA from 1 species
GGGGAUGUAGCUCAGUGGUAGAGCACUUGCUUAGCAUGUAUGAGGCUCUGGAUUCGGUCCCCAGCACAACCU